CAGCAGUGAGGAAGGUGGGUAUGUUAAUAGCAUACUCAUUUUGACGUUUAGCUGCAGAAGAAGCACCGGCUAACUCCGUGCCAGCAGCCGCGGUAAUACGGAGGGUGCGAGCGUUAAUCGGAAUUUACUGGGCGUAAAGCGCAUGCAGGUGGUUUGUUAAGUCAGAUGUGAAAGCCCGGGGCUCAACCUCGGAAUUGCAUUUGAAAACUGGCAAAACUAGAGUACUGUAGAGGGGGUAGAAUUUCAGGUGUAGCGGUGAAAUGCGUAGAGAUCUGAAGGAAUACCGGUGGCGAAGGCGGCCCCCUGGACAGAUACUGACACUCAGAUGCGAAAGCGUGGGGAGCAAACAGGAUUAGAUACCCUGGUAG
rnacentral:rRNA from 1 species